rnacentral:rRNA from 1 species
GACGAACGCUGGCGGCGUGCCUAAUACAUGCAAGUAGAACGCUGAAGGAGGAGCUUGCUUCUCUGGAUGAGUUGCGAACGGGUGAGUAACGCGUAGGUAACCUGCCUGGUAGCGGGGGAUAACUAUUGGAAACGAUAGCUAAUACCGCAUAAGAGUAGAUGUUGCAUGACAUUUGCUUAAAAGGUGCAAUUGCAUCACUACCAGAUGGACCUGCGUUGUAUUAGCUAGUUGGUGGGGUAACGGCUUACCAAGGCGACGAUACAUAGCCGACCUGAGAGGGUGAUCGGCAACACUGGGACUGAGACACGGCCCAGACUCCUACGGGAGGCAGCAGUAGGGAAUCUUCGGCAAUGGACGGAAGUCUGACCGAGCAACGCCGCGUGAGUGAAGAAGGUUUUCGGAUCGUAAAGCUCUGUUGUAAGAGAAGAACGAGUGUGAGAGUGGAAAGUUCACACUGUGACGGUAUCUUACCAGAAAGGGACGGCUAACUACGU